UGUCUGUGUGUGUGUGUGUGUCUCUGCGUGUGUGUGUCUCUGUGUGUGUCUGUGUGUGUGUGUGUGUGUGUGUGUGUGUGUGUGUGUGUGUCUCUGCGUGUGUUCCUGUGUGUUCAGGAACGUGUUUGAUUGGCUGGUGUACUCUCUGCUGGCGGUGUCCUUCAGCAUCCAUGUGGCCGACGUGUUGCGUCCAUCCGUCCGUCUUUACACCGUCAGUCUGCGUCUGUUCUCCGUCACGGUCGUCUUCCUGUGGCUGCGCCUGAUGAAGCAUGUCAGAGCCUUCAGGUACAGACGCACACACCUGGCCGAUCAAAUCGCUCGUGUGUCUCACCUGUUCUGCGUGGUUCACGCAGCGCUCUCUACAGCGGACAGCUGUUCAAAGCACUUUACUUGUAUGGGCAGAGGUUCUGAUGGUCUAGUUGCACAUCAGCCAUACACUGCCACCCUCUGGUGAGCUGUUGUCAGUGCAGCUGAAAUUUGUCAAAACCAAGAUGGCUGACGGACUGUCAGAAACGUUGCAGACCCCUGCAGGAGUAGACGGAGAGAGGAGAGAGGCUGAGGAGUCAGAAGGGAGGUUCAGCCUUUUUGCAUUGUAUUAAACAGUAUUAGAAUGUGUUAAAAUAUGUGACCACAUUAGUUUAACAGCAUUAAAAAUAUACUUUUCACA